GACGAACGCUGGCGGCGUGCUUAACACAUGCAAGUCGAACGGAAAGGCCCUGCUUGCAGGGUGCUCGAGUGGCGAACGGGUGAGUAACACGUGGGUGAUCUGCCCCUUACUUUUGGAUAAGCCUGGGAAACUGGGUCUAAUACUGGAUAGGACCAUGCUGUAGGUGGUGUGGUGGAAAGAUUAGUUUCGGUAAGGGAUGAGCUCGCGGCCUAUCAGCUUGUUGGUGGGGUAAUGUCCUACCACGGCGUCGACGGGUAGCCGGCCUGAGAGGGUGGACGGCUACAUUGGGACUGCGAUAAUGCGGCGAAUCCUACGGGAGGCAGCAGUGGGGAAGAUUGCAGCAUGGGGGCAAGCCUGAUGCAGCGACGCCGCGGGGGGGAUGACGGCGUUCGGGUUGUAGAAUCCUUUCAGCCAUGACGAAGCCCUUGUGGUGACGGUAGUGGUAGAAGAAGCACCGGCUAACUACGUG
rnacentral:rRNA from 1 species